GUAGGUGGCAAGCGUUGUCCGGAAUUAUUGGGCGUAAAGCGCGCGCAGGCGGUUCUUUAAGUCUGAUGUGAAAGCCCACGGGCUCAACCGUGGAGGGUCAUUGGAAACUGGAGAACUUGAGUACAGAAGAGGAAAGCGGAAUUCCACGUGUAGCGGUGAAAUGCGUAGAGAUGUGGAGGAACACCAGUGGCGAAGGCGGCUUUCUGGUCUGUAACUGACGCUGAGGCGCGAAAGCGUGGGGAGCAAACAGGAUUAGAUACCCAGGUAGUCCACGCCGUAAACGAUGAGUGCUAAGUGUUAGGGGGUUUCCGCCCCUUAGUGCUGCAGCUAACGCAUUAAGCACUCCGCCUGGGGAGUACGGCCGCAAAGGCUG
rnacentral:rRNA from 1 species